AGCCAGUAAUCCAAGCGCUGCUAAUCGGGUGCCAGGCUCACACUUGGCGGUCCACGUCCUCGCAAUCCUUCUUUAUAUCCACGGGUGCUACAGCCUUGAGCCUCCCCGUCCCAUGUGCAUUCCAUCCAGCUUGCUCGUUGCUUCGCCUUUGCGCUCUGCGCCUCUGCUUUAGCCUCUAGUUGGCGGACGGCUGCGCUGUGCAGUCCGCGCUCUUCACCACAUCCCACCGCCUCCCCCGCCCCCGCAGACGCAAGAAACCGGCGGCCAUGGAUCCCCCGUCGGCUCAGGUGAUGUCGGCGACAAACGACUUCCAGGACAAGACCGUGGACGAGUGGUAAGGCGCCUGACUGCUUUUCGCUCAAAUCCGUGUUCUUUCUUCCCACCCAUCCUUCUCCGCGUUCUCGCUCCCUGACCGAUAGGCUCCUGACCAUGUGGUGGCCUGCAGUUGCUCGUGCUGCUACGACUGCUGCUCCAGCAUCCUCGACUUCCUGUGCUGCUCGUCUUGAUCCGACCGGUGCGGCUCCGACCUGUCCCGGCGGAAAAUUCUCAAGGAAAGCGGAGGCCUCGCCAUCACUCAUCACUGAUCCUGAUUUUAGUCCUGGAGUUCGUAGAUUCCUUAGGUCAGCCUUCGGUGAUGGUAUCUCUGUAAGUUUGACUCUAUUCAUCGGUAAGGAAACUUAUAUCAUGUGCUGAAAUACCGUGUUAACCUUCAACCCUGCGGUGAUUUCCUCUCUGGAAAAUUUACCGUGCGUGUAGGCAGAUCGAAUAGCUGUUUGGAGUUCUUACCGGUGACUGCGCUCGUAUUUGACAUACACCGCAUUACAUUUUUUUUCCGCAUAAAUUCAUUUGGUUCUUCUAGAGCCCAGAAGUACAGCUUGCAAAUUUUGCGCCGAGUUCUUAGCAUUCUUUUCUGCGUUUUUUGCGCGCACUGAACCAGAGCACCCCCAAGGCCCCAAGUCCUCUUCCGCAAGCCCAUGACGCGAUGUGAAUGCGAUGCGACAUGAUGGACAUCCUGCAUUCUUUCUCGGUGUUUGGCAGUUUGCUAUUGUUAAAAGUAGGAAGGUGACUCUCCAUUGAUUAAAUGAGUGGUAUAGUUAAAUAUUUAUAAAAUGGGAGAGGAUAUGACCAAAGGUCACUAUGUGUACAUACCUUGUAGUUGAUCACUAAGACAAAUCCCAGUGCAGAUUUCAUAGAGGUUUUAUGCACAUUAAUUAAGGUGCUGUCAGUAUUUUUGAUGAUGUGACAGAGUUAAUGAGGAGAGAGGUUUCAUG
rnacentral:lncRNA from 1 species